GGGUGUAGUUCAGUGACAGAGCACAUGCUUAGCAUGCAUGAGGUCCUGGAUUCAAUCCCCAGUACUUCCA
rnacentral:tRNA from 1 species